rnacentral:rRNA from 1 species
AUCCCGUGUGAAUCUGCGAGGACCACCUCGUAAGGCUAAAUAUUCCUAAAUGACCGAUAGCGCAUAGUACCGUGAGGGAAAGGUGAAAAGAACCCCGCAAGGGGAGUGAAAUAGAACAUGAAACUAUAAGCUUACAAGCAGUAGGAGGACGACUUAACGUCUGACUGCGUGCCUGUUGAAGAAUGAGCCGGCGACUUAUAAGCAAUGGCAGGUUAAAUGUAGGAGCCAUAGCGAAAGCGAGUCUGAAUAGGGCGUUUGUCAUUGUUUAUAGACCCGAACCCGGAUGAUCUAACCAUGGUCAGGAUGAAGCUUAGGUAAAAUCAAGUGGAGGUCCGAACCGACUGAUGUUGAAAAAUCAGCGGAUGAAUUGUGGUUAGGGGUGAAAUGCCAAUCGAAUCCGGAGCUAGCUGGUUCUCCCCGAAAUGUGUUUUGGCGCAGCGAUUAAUGUUUAAAUUUAGGGGUAAAGCACUGUUUUUAUGCGGGCUGGUAAUUCGGUACCAAAUGAAGGCAAACUAAGAAUACUAAAUUGUAUAGUUAAUCAGUAAGACUGUGGGGGAUAAGCUCCAUUGUCAAGAGGGAAACAGCCCAGACCAUCAGUUAAGGCCCCUAAAAAUUGCUAAGUGCGAAAGGUGGUGGGAGUGCAUAGACAACCAGGAGGUUUGCUUAGAAGCAGCAAUCCUUUAAAGAAUGCGUAAUAGCUCACUGGUCGAGUAAACCUGCGCCGAAAAUGUACGGGACUAAGUAAUUUGCCGAAGCUAUGGGGUAAUAAUAAAUUAUCGGUAGGGGAGCGUUCUGUUGUAGGUUGAAGCGUUAGUGAAAACGGGCGUGGACGAAGCAGAAGUGAGAAUGUCGGCUUGAGUAGCGAAAACAUUGGUGAGAAUCCAAUGCCCCGAAAACCUAAGGAUUCCUCCGGAAGGCUCGUCCGCGGAGGGUUAGUCAGGACCUAAGGCAAGGCCGAUUUGGCGUAGUCGAUGGAUAACAGGUAGAUAUUCCUGUACCACUUUUUAUUGAUAAUGAGGGACGGAGCAGGCUAGUUCAGCCGGAUGUUGGUUACCGGUUUAAGCGUUUAGAUGUUGAGAAGUAGAGAAAAUACUUUGAGUUAAGACGUGAAUAGGAGAUACUUAAUCGUAUUGAAGUGAAUGAUGUCAUACUUCCAAGAAAAGCUCAAUCUAUCUUAAAUAUAAAGUGCCUGUACCAUAAACCGACACAGGUGGGUAAGUAGAGAAUACUAAGGGGCGCGAGAUAACUCUCUCUAAGGAACUCGGCAAAAUAACCCCGUAACUUUGGGAGAAGGGGUGCCUAUUUAGGCUGCAAUAACAAGGUCCAAGCGACUGUUUACCAAAAACACAGGUCUCCGCAAAGUCGCAAGACAAUGUAUGGGGGCUGACGCCUGCCCAGUGCCGGAAGGUUAAGGAAGUUGGUUAGCUUUAUGCGACGCUAGCGACUGAAGCCCCGGUGAACGGCGGCCGUAACUAUAACGGUCCUAAGGUAGCGAAAUUCCUUGUCGGGUAAGUUCCGACCUGCACGAAAGGCGUAACGAUUUGGACACUGUCUCGGAGAGAGGCUCGGUGAAAUAGACUUGUCUGUGAAGAUGCGGACUACCUGCACCUGGACAGAAAGACCCUAUGAAGCUUUACUGUAGCUUGGAAUUGACUUCAAACUUUAUUUGCGUAGGAUAGGUGGGAGGCUAUGAAGAUGAUCUUCUGGGAUUAUUGGAGCCAUCCUUGAAAUACCACCCUAAUAAUGUGAGAAUUCUAACUUUUCGCUGUGAAUCCAGCUGAAGGACAUUUUCAGGUGGUCAGUUUGACUGGGGCGGUCGCCUCCCAAAAGGUAACGGAGGCGUACAAAGGUUUCCUCAAAUCGGUCAGAAAUCGAUUGUAGAGCGCAAAGGCAAAAGGAAGCUUGACUGUGAGACCUACAAGUCGAACAGGGACGAAAGU